AUUGAACGCUGGCGGUAGGCCUAACACAUGCAAGUCGAGCGAGCGGCGGACGGGUGAGUAAUGUAUGGGGACUGCCCGAUAGAGGGGGAUAACUACUGGAAACGGUGGCUAAUACCGCAUACUAUCGGAUAACACAUAUGGGAUUAUCGAGUAGGUGGGGGAAAGGCUCACCUAGGCGACGAGCCCUAGCUGGUCUGAGAUGAUGAGCAGCCACACUGGGACUGAGACACGGCCCAGACUCCUACGGAGGCAGCAGUGGGGAAUAUUGCACAAUGGGCGCAAGCCUGAUGCAGCCAUGCCGCGUGUAUGAAGAAGGCCUUAGGGUUGUAAAGUACUUUCAGCGGGGAUGCGGUACCCGCAGAAGAAGCACCGGCUAACUCCGUGCCAGCAGCCGCGGUAAUAC
rnacentral:rRNA from 1 species